rnacentral:misc_RNA from 1 species
UUGUUGCUGGCCCCCCAAACGGGGCAUGUGCACGCUCUGUUUCACAUCCACUNNNNNNNNNNNCCCUCUGUAGUCUCAUGGUUCGGAAGACCCCGUCUUCCUUCCGUGGCUCUACGUCUUUACACACACGCCGUAGUGAUGUCUCAUGGAAUGUUUUUCUGCGUUUAACGCAAUACAAUACAACUUUCAGCAACGGAUCUCUUGGCUCUCGCAUCGAUGAAGAACGCAGCGAAAUGCGAUAAGUAAUGUGAAUUGCAGAAUUCAGUGAAUCAUCGAAUCUUUGAACGCACCUUGCGCCCCUUGGUUAUUCCUUGGAGCAUGCCUGUUUGAGUAUCAUGAACACCUCAACUCUCAUGGUCUUCCAUGAUGAGCUUGGACUUUGGGGGUUUGCUGGCCCUGCGGCCGGCUCCUCUCAAAUGAAUUAGCUUGCCAGUGUUUGGUGGCAUCACGAGUGUGAUAACUAUCUACGCUCGCGGUCGUCCGCCAGGUAACCCUCAGCGAUGAAGGUUCAUUGGGGCUUAUAAACGUCUCUCCUCGGCGAGGACAACUUUUGAACGUUCGAUCUCAAAUCAGGUAGGACUACCCGCUGAACUUAAGCAUAUCAAUAA